AUCAGAUUUAUGUAUCUAUCCAUCAUAAUAUAUCUAAUUUCUGUGCUUUAUAUGAUGGUUAUGUCUAAAGGCGGAGCUUAACACAGGGAGGUGAAACAGAUUAGUUCAGUGAUAAUCAGCAUCACAGAUCACUGAGGCAAGCAGCAACUACCAUCAUGUUCACUUGUGUGCUUAUACUGCUGACUCUAACUCAAGGUAACAGAGCUAAAGAUGUCAUCACCCCAUACAGUGAUGCAGCAUUUGCCACUGAGACUGAGAGAGUGAAACUCUCUUGUAACUACACUGGUUCUGUUGAUAGUCUUUACUGGUAUCGACAAUAUGCAGGUUUAACACCACAGUUCCUCAUCCUGGAUUAUUCAGGAUAUGUUGUUGAAGCUAAUCCUCCAGUUUCUGGAAUAUCCAUCAGUCCCAGAAAAGAAGAUAAAAGUGUGGAUCUGAUCAUCUCUUCUGUUGCUGUAUCAGACUCUGCUCUGUAUUACUGUGCUCUGCAGCCCACAGUGACAGGAAACACUCACCACACCGUACAAGAAUCUGACUGA